rnacentral:tRNA from 1 species
GGGCCUGUAGCUCAGCCAGGUAGAGCAUCGGACUUUUAAUCCGAGGGUCGAGGGUCCGAAUCCCCCCAGGCCCG